rnacentral:sRNA from 1 species
UUUUUUUUUUUUCUUUUUUGGUUCAAUUUUUCCUUUCUUUCUUUUUCUUUUUCUUCUUCUUUAUGUGUGCAAUCACUGCUUUUUUUCCCCUUCUACUCUUUUGAGCCCUUUUCCAUUAAUUUUCCAUUAAUUUUCUUUGCUUCUAACUUUUAAAGCUGCUAGUUAACCUUAACUUCUUUUAUACUUUUCUUUCUGUUGUUUCGUCAUCAGCCUUAACUCUUGAUCCGACUCUUGGCAUCUUGCGGGUUGGAGAGUGUAUCUUCCGAUCAGAUAGAUGGCUUACUUCGAGUUGGUUGCAUGGGCAGGGCUUCAGGGAUUUUCUACGAGCUGUUGGUUUUUCUUUGCUAUGAUUAUUGUAUAUAGAGCUUCUUUGUAUUGGUAGAGAACCAUGCCCAA